CUGCGGUCAGUUAAGCUGCCUAGGUGCCUGUGCUCCUGGAGACCUGCGCACUAGCUGCAAGCAGCCUCCAGGGUGGUGUACGAUAGCCUGUGGUUUGUGUAGGCGGCCCGUGGGGACCAUGGAUGUUCCC